AAUCAACGCUGGCGGCGUGCCUCAGACAUGCAAGUCGAACGCGAAAGUCCCCUUCGGGGGACAAGUAGAGUGGCGCACGGGUGAGUAACACGUAGGUAAUCUACCUUCGGGUGGGGAAUAACAACCGGAAACGGUUGCUAAUACCGCAUAAUGCAGCGGCACCUAAUGGUGACAGUUGUUAAAGCGGGGGAUCGCAAGAUCUCGCGCCUGAAGAGGAGCCUGCGGCGGAUUAGCUAGNGGUAGGGUAAUGGCCUACCAAGGCGACGAUCCGUAGCCGGCCUGAGAGGGCGGUCGGCCACACUGACACUGACA
rnacentral:rRNA from 1 species